rnacentral:lncRNA from 1 species
ACAAACUGCACAGACCACCCCAAACAGAGCAGCACCUAAAUCCUUUACAGGGUAGCUUCAGUCUUUAAAAAGAUAACAUAUUUUGUGAGCAGUCUCCAGUUAGACACUGUAUUUGCCAAUGUUCAGAAAACACAGUUGUCUCAUUUCUGGUUUAUGAACACUAUGGGACUGUAAAAGAGAAACAUUCAUCUCUUCAUCCGAGUCAAUGUGAAUUAAUUUUGUUUAAGCACACCUUUUUAAAGGGCUUUUAUUUUCACAGCUCCUUAACUUUUUAUUGCAUCUUUUCUCCAGGCAUAGUCGACUGUGGAAUGGAAUUGUGUUUUAAAUUAACCUGCAAUUAGGCUACAGAACCCCAUUCUGAAGAAAUUCACCCAGCUCUGGUUGAUAAGGUUAUUCCCGGGGAGCCGGCAUACAGUGAGCAUAACAGGACCCAGCACUGGGACCAGGAAGGAGGCUAUCACCCUCCCUAAUUAGCUCACCAGACACAAGGGGUACCUGUACACGCCAACUCUGUAUCCAAUUCCCAAUUUCAGGUCACACAGGAUGGAGACAUUACUUUUUGUAGGAGAUUAUCAGGCAAAAAAAGUUACUGGAAGGUUCCCUCAGUUUACCUAGAGUCAUCCCAUCUAAUGGGUGACCUUGAGUUCUAUACCUUGUCUAUUUUAUUUCUCCUCCUAACAUAAAAUGCUACAGAAUGCAUAAUUUUCAAUUAAAAUAAAUUUUAUUUUUGCAACAGGAUUACUUCAUUUUAAUUUACAGAACUCAGAGUGAACAGGUUCCAGUACAGAAUCAUGGAAAUCUAGAAUCGAGAGGAUAAUAGAAGUGGGUAUUAACAACUGCAUAGCUGUAGAUUUUGUAUCCAUGGCAUCGGAUAAAUUCACACAGAGGAAAAGUUCACUUCAGAGUUCUAAAAUGUUAUCCUUUGACUCCCAGAAGCAUGAAAAUGCAAGUUGGGCUGAAAACCCAAUUUCAGGUACUUACUGAUUCCUUGAAAGAGCUCUUCGAUAUUAAUAGCAUUUUUUGCACUUGUCUCAACCACGAUGGCACCUAUGGAUUCAGCGUAUUCCUUAGCAUCCUUCAGGGGAACCUCCCUGGAAAAGAGGUCAAAUGUAGACAGGAAAUGAAUGUUAGUUUGUAAAAUACAAAUCACCCAAAAGACCAAACAGCUUGUGCGGCAACAGCUCCUUUAUCUUCUUGUAGAAUCAU